rnacentral:rRNA from 1 species
UACAGAGGGUGCAAGCGUUAAUCGGAAUUACUGGGCGUAAAGGGUGCGUAGGUGGUUAAUUAAGUGGGAUGUGAAAUCCCCGGGCUUAACCUGGGAAUUGCAUUUCAAACUGGCCGACUAGAGUACGGUAGAGGGAGGUAGAAUUUCCUGUGUAGCGGUGAAAUGCGUAGAUAUAGGAAGGAAUACCAGUGGCGAAGGCGGCCUCCUGGAUCGAUACUGACGCUGAGGCGCGAAAGCGUGGGGAGCAAACAGG